AAUCAACGCUGGCGGCGCGCUUAACACAUGCAAGUCGAACGAGAAAGGGAGCAAUCCUGAGUAAAGUGGCGCACGGGUGAGUAACACGUGGGUAAUCUACCCUCUGGUGGGGAAUAACUCUGGGAAACCGGAGCUAAUACCGCAUAAGACCGGGAGGUGAAAGGGCGAAAGUUCGCCGGAGGAGGAGCCCGCGGCUGAUUAGCUAGUUGGUAGGGUAAGAGCCUACCAAGGCUGAGAUCGGAGCCGGCCUGAGAGGGCACACGGCCACACUGGCACUGAAACACGGGCCAGACUCCUACGGGAGGCAGCAGUGGGAAUCUUGCACAAUGGAGGAAACUCUGAUGCAGCGACGCCGCGUGAGUGAUGAAGCCCUUCGGGUGUAAAGCUCUUUCGACCCGGAAGAUAAUGACGGUACGGGAGAAGAAGCUGCGGCUAACUACGUGCCAGCA
rnacentral:rRNA from 1 species